GCUUCUAUCUUUUAUCCCUCUGGCUCUGGCUGGCUCCAGUCAUGGCUGACUGCUCUCCAGCCUGCUGUACAGCUGCCAUCCUGGGACUGACCAUCUUCUUAGCAAUUCCCUUCAUCUCUGUACUCUGGGGAUUUCCUAUGUCUGGAUCCCAUGAUUUUCUACUUUUGGUUUAUGUCCUCAUUUUGAUGAAUCACAGUCUCCAGUAGUUUCUUAAUUUUUUUUUUUUUUUUCCAGUUAGGGUACAACAAACAUAUAGUAGAGUAUACUCAACUUGUGUCCUGCCUGCUUAAUUUUUGAAUAUUUAUUCAUAUAAGCACCAUAAAGAUACUGACUAUCUCCAGUACUCUACAGACCUCGCUCAUGCCUCUUCCCAGUCAAUGUCCUCCACCAUCACACCACCUCCAGUGAGGCUCCCACUUCCACCUGGUCUAUGGUAAAUCCAUGUUCUCCAACUUACCCGGUGUGGCUUUAGAAGUAACCUGCAAGGAUAUCUGAUGGGUGGAGCCAAGUCCCCAUAAAUCAUCUGAAUCCUCAAGCUGAGAACAUGGGAGCACAGCUCGCAAAGUCCAGACUGAUAAGGUUGCUGCCACUGGAUGGGACCCCCAAUUUCUCAGUUUUCUUCUGGGACAGUGGACGAUGAGCACGUGAAUCUGCAAAGUGUUUUACUGGAUGAUGUCUAUCCACCUCACAAGCUCUACAAUUCUGGAAGUGGCAUUUUACUUCGUUUGAAUUCGAAUCUCUCCACAUUCUUUCUAAGAAUAUACUGACUCCUUUAUGCAUGGAAAACUUGGUUUGGAGUAGGGAGAGGGUAGUUUCCCCAACAAAAAUAUUGGGCAAGUUACUAUGUAUGUAUUAAGUGAAGAGAAGUAAAGGGAUAGAGAAAAAAAGGAGUGGAAAAAGUAGAAUCUCUUUCUCUCUCUCUUCUCUCCCCUCCCGCCCCCCACUGGGCUCUCCCUGUCUCUUCUAUCAAUUUGCAAAAUUACUCAUUGGAAGCUGAACUAUGGAGGUUGGGCCACCUUAAUUGGGUUUCCAAAGAUUGAGUUGAAUUGUGUCUCUUGGUGGCAUAUAGCUUGUUACCAGGGAGGGCCCUUUAAAGAUUGUAAAAUGACAGUUUGUUUUCUCUGCCUUAUCAACCUGACCUCAUAGAUCCAUAAGUCUCCCCAAGCUGCAGGUUCAAAGCUGAGCUAAUGGUCAUGAUUCAUAUUUCAAGGGUCCAUGUGUGUGAAGAGGGACCUUCUGCCUCCCCCAGCUUCCCUCCAUUCCCUGCCUUUACGCUGUCCGUGACCAAGCCGUCAGGUUGCCAGGCAGCACCUCCUUCCUGAGUUUUAUCUCCAAUGAGACUGUGUUUCCCAACCCCUCACCUCUGAGGGACUGCGGUUUGACCCGCUCAGACCUUCUUGCAGAGGGUCUCACCGAGCAAUGGCUGGUGCUGGCUGCACCCAGGAACGUUCGGGAAACCUCGCUGCUGCUGAUGCCCAGAGACUGCGGCUGGGUGCCAGCCCCACCCAGAAUAAGUUCAAGCAGUCGUGUAGCAGCAACGUUUCAGGGAUUAUGGUGUCCCAAAGUGUACUCCCUGGACCAGCAGCAUCAGCAUCACCGGGGAAUCUGAGAAACGCAAAUUCUCCGUGCCACCUGAGACCUACUGAAUCAGAAACCCUGGGGGUGUCUCCCCGAACUCCAUGUUAACAAGGCUUCCAGAUGAUGCAGACGCAUGCUCGAGGUUGGAAACCACUGUUUCAAUAGACUAUUUUCUUUCUGUAGACUUAUCUCCUUUCCCAAACCACAACGGAUGAGUUGGAGCACCAGUGCUAAGAAAGAACCAGCCUAUUUCCAUUUUGUUCACUGAUGUAAAAUCAUCUCCUCUGAAGGACACGCCUAGGAACCUACUUCCUGACUCUGAUGAUCUGCUAAUAUUCAAUGCUUUUCACCUGGCUUCUUGCUUGCCUCUCUGGGACCACAUGUGUUGGAUUCUCUGGGCCUGGAGCCAGAGGUCUGGGUGAAUAUCUGUGCAUUUCUGAGUUGACUGAAAGGCUGCAGCAGCCGUAGGCGAAGAAAACCAGGCUGCUUGAGCUCCAUGUUGUUUUUGUCUAGAAUCCAAGUUCCCUCACACUCCACAUGGCUCUUUUCAGUAGAGGAGCCUCUAGCUUUCCGAACUUGGCGUCCCCGUGGAGAGAGCACUAUGUCACUUCACGAUUCUGCCCACUUGCUGUCCUGGAUCUCAGACCUUGCUUUUCAGCAGACUUUGGGUGGGUGUUUGACUUUCUUUUUGGCGAGACAGAGGAAAUGAGCAAGUAUGUGAAAACCUUCGAAUGGCCACUCCCUAAAAGCAGCAAGAAACUCCAGAGAGUCCCACAGACUCUUGUAAAAUGCAGCCUAGAGCUCAGGGAAUGUCUGGAUUUUCUCCCCAGGGAGCUUUUUCACACUUUGGAACAUCCUUGGAGGAAACCACAGGCAUCUGGAAGGCCCUUCUGCAACAAGAGACAUGAGGAGAAACUACCUUCUGACCUACCUCAAUGUUGGAGGCAUCUGUUCCGUUUGCACUUCUCCGCUUCCUGCCCCGUUUGGGGUAGCCAUUGAUCUUACACUCAUAACAAGCCUCCGGGGAGAGAGAAUUGUCAUCCAUUUCACCGCUGGCAGGUGGCUCUGGGCCUCCUCGGCCCAUGCCGAUUCCAGAAACACAGUGCCUGUGGAAGAAGGGAAGCACAGCCCUUUUUCAUUAGAACUGGGAGAUGAGGGAGGUGGUGCAAGAGUUCUGGUGAAGUGUGGACCCCACCUGGUGACACUGAGACACUGGUUAUUCAUCCAUUAGGUGACUGGCUGGUUCUGAGAGCCACACUGAAGUCCUCUGUGUUUAGGCUCUGAGUCCCAGUUCCUGGAGUGGAUUCCUUUCUACUAUCUCUCAAGGUCCUGUUUUGCAUGUUUAUUUGCCUCUUCAUUUCUGCCCCCUCUCCCCCACUGUACCAGGUGUUUUGCUGUCCUUAUGCUGCUGAGGAGGGCACAUGGAGUAGAAAGAGGGGAAGAGUGGGGGAUGAGGGAGAUCAUGUGACUUGGGAGGGUAAAGAAAAAUGUCCUCUAUUUAUGAAACAGAAAGUGAGAAAAGUAGGAGAUGUCUGUGUUCAGUUCCUUGUCCUCUUCCUGUUUCACUGACCCCAUCACCACCACUUCCACCACUACCACACUCACCAGCCCUCAUCACUUCAGCUUCUGAGCACUUUCUAUUGUUUGACCACUCAUUUUGGCUGAAGCUACUGAAGGUAUAAAGAAAGUUCUAGGUAGAACUGAAGUUGACUUAGAAAUAAACUGUAAAGAUGUGCAAUGUAUAAAAUGCAUGUAUUAGAGCUUGCCCAACUAUGGGAAAUUGUUUCAAGUCAUUCAAAACCACUAGGGCCAUUGGCUCUGACUCAUGUGAGGCUGGAUAAACAAACCCAUGCCCAAGAGAGAACUAGUUCAGCUGUUUUUCUUUGCCUUUCAGUUAUCAAAGCCAAGUUACGAAGGGAGGCUUGCAUGUUUCACAAGUACCUUGUUUUGUUAUUCUGCUUACUAUUUCAUAGGCCUCUUGGAAUGUAUUUACCAGGCUCCUUUUUCAAAAUGUGUUGAAAUAUCUGAAUGAUCCUAGGAGUCUUUAUUUUGAGGCAGGGUCCACUCUAGUGAUUCAUGGAGAAGCGCAAACUAUUAGAAGUGGGUAGAUUUCCACUAAUGGGUCAUAAUGAAGACCAAAUAUUUAUCACUUUUUCUGUAGUAAUUGGCCUAUUUUUAUACCCAUUUUUCUUGAUGCUCUUGAGAUUCAAAAUAUAAUGCCAAUAAGCAGACUACUUUUUGUGUUUUGCAGCAAUGUAUGGGUUCAUACUAGGUUUUGCAAUCCUGCCAGAGCCCAGUACUUUUCCUUUGUUCUUCCUUUAUCUUGCUGCAUGAAAUGUGCAGAAACAAAAUGGAUGAAAUGAUGACUGCUCAUCGUGUGUGUGUGUGUGUGUGUGUGUGUCUAUUCACAUAAUGAUUAAGUUAUUGGAAGAAAAAUCCCAAAUUUGCAGGCUUUGGUUCUUUUCUCAGAACUCCUUUCCAGUAUUUUCAUAUCCCUGGAACACCACUUACAAGAAGUGUGACUACAAAGUCCCACUGGCUAGAAGCCAGUUUGGAGUGUCACAAUUUUUGCUGGGAAAAUGGUUCUGGCAUUCAACUUAUAAAGAAUGAGACUACUGAGAGCCAGACACAAACAUCUGGGAAUUUGUGUCCUAUUGCUGGCAUUCUGUGUGCUUCCCAUGAAACAUUCUUUCACCUUCAAGUCUACACAGACCCAAAAUGAAUCGCUUGAUGUUUGUGUGUCAAGAAAUCAAAGGCCAGUACAUUACACUAAUUUGAUAUAUACAUAUAUGUGUAUUAUGGAAUAUGUGAUUUUGUGGGAUGUGUAUGUGUGGCUGUACAUGUGUGUAUGUAUAUUUCAUGUCUAUGUGUUCCUAAUGAAAAUGUUAAAAUUUGAGUUCCUUAACAGCAUAGACAACACUACAUGGACAUCCAACUCUAGAUUAAUUCAGCAGGAAAAAAGGCCUACACUGUGAAAACUUACCACUAAACUUUUAAAUUACUGGGUAAAAAAAAAAUAUGUCUUUUCUUCCCCAACAGUCACACAUACAAUGUGGUAAAGUAUUCUACCAGGAGGAUACAAUAAUUAUUUUAGCUCUCGUAUUUUAUGCUCUUUUGGUAAUUCUUUAUGUAAACUUAAGUCUGAGAUGUAAAAUAUAUUUUAAAGCCAGGUAUCUUUGUGAUUUCUCCUAACGGUAGCUAGAGGAGAAGGCAUUUUAAGUCAAGAGAGAAUCCUGCUUGCCUCAGGAGAAGGGGAGAUCAGCAAUAUGCAGUGUGAGUCCAGUUCUGUCAUGGGUCAGCCCCUGCAUUUCUAGAGAAAUGAAUCACUUCCCAACAAGAUGCGAAGAUCAAGAGAAUGAGAUAGAGACACCACAUAUCAAGGGAAAACCAGAAGACACUGUGUGUGUGACACCGGCCAGACAUCUCUACCGGGGACCGCUGGCCAGCUGGCUCUCAGCCAGCACUCAGGAAGAACUCCCAGCCAGAGAUGAUCUUCAUGGGGCCAAAGGAGAGCCUCCAGGCAACGAAGACAUGACCUGUCCAUCUCCACUAUUCCUGGACUAAAGAGGGUGAUAAUGAAGAUUUUGACAGCCACACAGAUUAUCUCCACCAGGAAUUACCAGCUGCAUCAAGCUGAGGCCCCUACCCACCUUCACAGCUGGCACCACUCUGAUCAAGAGAG